UUUUGCCACUCCAACAUCAAG
rnacentral:piRNA from 1 species